CCUCACUACCCUCUCUCUCUUCUCCUAUUCUCUUCACCAAUCUUCACCGGUCGUCUACUUCCUCUUCUCCACUCUCGUUAUCGGUUCCAAAACCCUAACCCUACAUUCGAUCUUCUUCAAUCCCUCCACAAGCCAUAAGUUAGAAUUCAGACCCUACACUUCCCUCAACUGUUUCAGAACCUUUGUCUACAAAGGACUGCCGCCAGACUUGUCAAAACGGCGAUCUCGAACAGGCUGAUUGUGAUGAGAAAGAUCAAGAGGCGAGGCACAUUAAUGUGUCAAAAACGACAUCGAAAGAUGGACAGUUCAUUUUUGCCCUAAUUUUUCUCUCCAUUUUUGUUCAAUCAACCCCUCGAUCUUCUCUAAUCAGAACUCUGCACCAGAUUUGCCGGUUUAGUCCAACUCUAGGUUUAGCCUUGAGGUCUUGAACCUGGAACAAAGUAUUAUUACAAGUGUGGUGAUAGUUCUCUUCCAGCUAUAAGUGAUGAGCAAGUCUUUGAAACCUUACCAUCGCCUAGACCCAAUAGCUAUCCUCGUUGAAUUGUAAUUAUUGGAGAUUUGGGUCUCACAAGCAAUUCAACAACCACCAUUGAUCAUCUCAUAGAAAAUUAUCCUUCAAUAGUUUUAAUGGUUGGAGACUUAACUUAUGCAAACAAUUACUAGACAACUGGUGGUAAAGGAGCUUCGUGCUUUUCAUGUGCAUUCCCAAAUGCGUCCAUUAGAGAAACAUAUAUCAACCCCGUUGGGAUGCAUGGGGAAGGUAUCAAACUCUUUUGCUAUAGUUACAGUUAUAUAUGAUGCUUCUCUUAUUAUUAUUUUUUUUCACUGUGGUGAACUCUAACAGAAGAUGCAUAGUAUUAGUCAUAUUCCUAGUUCCAAUAAGGUUUUGUUCCUUGGCAAUUUAAUUUUCAGAAUUAUCAAAUUUAGGUUUGCAAUGCAGUAGUGUUGAUGACGUUUUUUUUAAUGAUUUUGUCAAUUUGUCUUUGCUCCUGAAUGGAUUGUUUAUAGCCUAAACUUAUCAAAUUUGAAUUUGAAACACUACAUUAAGCCUCUCAACAAAUUGUAUCCCAAAUUUUGAUAUAUGCUUCCUGCUAUUCAGAGGAAAAAGUAACCAGAUAAUUAUCUAUCAAAAAAAAA